rnacentral:rRNA from 1 species
GGAAUCUUCCACAAUGGACGAAAGUCUGAUGGAGCAACGCCGCGUGAGUGAAGAAGGGUUUCGGCUCGUAAAACUCUGUUGUUAAAGAAGAACAUAUCUGAGAGUAACUGUUCAGGUAUUGACGGUAUUUAACCAGAAAGCCACGGCUAAAUACGUGCCAA